UACGGAGGGUGCAAACGUUGCUCGGAAUCAUUGGCGUAAAGCGCACGUAGGCGGUCCUGCAAGUCGGGUGUGAAAGCCCUCGGCUCAACCGAGGAAGUGCAUCCGAAACUGCAGAACUUGAGUAGUGAAGAGGGUCUCGGAAUUCCCGGUGUAGAGGUGAAAUUCGUAGAUAUCGGGAGGAACACCAGCGGCGAAGGCGGAGACCUGGGCACAUACUGACGCUGAGGUGCGAAAGCGUGGGGAGCAAACAGG
rnacentral:rRNA from 1 species